CAUAGACAUCGAAGCGACAUCCAUACGAACUUCGAAGUAGCAAUUGUACACCAAAGGAAUGAUGCCCAUGUUCAUCAAAAGAUUAUAUUGAGAAAGGAGUUAGAAAUAUCCGGUUUACUAAUUGCCACAACUGUUCUCUGUAAACCUGGCAACAGUGUGAAAUGCAAUACAAAGCGUAUGCAAUACCGCCCCCUCUCCGGGAACCAAUACCUCAUCGUGGUGGAGAGGUUUGUGUGUCCCUAUAAACCUGAGGGCUGUGUUGUUAGGAGCCUGGUGCUCCUGGUAGGAUCUUCAAUGGCAAAGUGGUCUCAGGCGAGGGGCUAGACUAAGAAUGGUU